ACAGAUUCCAUUCCCAGCACCAGGUCUCAUCCCUGGAAAAUGAGUGGCAGUGGAGGCAGGUGGCAAACCUUCUCUUAUUUUGUGGAAGAAAGGGGAAAUAAGUGACUGAAUGACUGAAGUGAACUCAAAGCAUGUUGCAUCACUUGAGAAAAAUCUAUAAAAUCUACCUCAGAGAGUCCCUAAAAUGCUAUUAUGGAAUCGCAGGCUAAAGCCAAGUCAUACUCACUCAGCAGUGACUCAUUGUGCAGCCUGGGCAAAUGUCUGUCUCAGUUCAGGAAGAGGUGAAUGGGGCAGUGAUAGUUCUGAGUCUCAUAAAACACUUCAAGAACUUCCUGAGAAAAGGAGUAGCUCUGUCACAACAGUCUCUUACCUGCCUCCUUCCUAGCCCAGUAACACAGGAAGAGCAAAGGACAAAAGCCCUGCAGACAACGAAUUCCUCCUGCUCAGCAUCUGUUUAUGUCAGAUGUUGGAACCCCCACCCAUCCCUUCCUGACACAUCUGAUAAAAGUGGAAGUUACAAGAGUACUUUGGUGAUCCGCUCAGGGUGAGCCGAAGUGCCUUGGCUCUGGCUGGUGUGAGAUCAGACCCUCCACAGGGAGCAGUGUCAAGGAGGCUUUGAAGAACCAAACAAACCCCAAACAGCCCGUGAAGCACAGCUGCAGGUCAGAGCUGGGAAAGCAGUGUUGGCCAGAGGGAGACAGAGCAAUGCAUCCAGGUGUACAAGUCCUGCAGGUGGCUUUGUUCCUGAAGUGCUGGGCUGGGCUGCUGUUGAAGCCUCCUGCUCCCUCUUGCUCCCAAGACCUACUUCUGGACUAAAGUGCUGCAUCAGGAUUAAUCACCUGCCUAAAAAUGAGCUGAAAUACCUCCUCAAAUAUAGAAGAGUCCAGGAAAAGGUAAAGGUCAGACAAUGUAAGGUCAAUGGGUCAUCUGGCUUGAAAGCAGCUGCUGGAAAGGCAAGAAGAAAAGUUUCACAAUGAGAAAAAUACGCAGUCUAUGUUUUAUGAGUGCCUCUUCUUGGUAGUUAUGUUGCAUUAAACCCUGAAGCAUACAUUUUCCAAGGCCUUUGUUUAUCAUUUCUUUUAGCAGCAGCCACAUGACGGCACUAUGACCUAUUUUCUACUGAACAUGAUGCACAGAGUGCUUGUUCAAUAACAUAUUCAUUGGUACUUGCACUCUAAAGACCUAAUAUGACACAGUGCAGUACCUCACCAAGUUUUCAAAGUGAGGAUCGCUUUGAAAUCCUGAAUUAAAUUCAGGACUCAUGAAGAUAAGUACAUUUAGGGACAUGAUAUUAUGGCCUUUUUAAAAUACCUUUCUUUUAGAGCACGUAUCUUUCCCCCAUGCAUCAUUUCCAAAGUAAUUUUCAUGCAAUUAUUUCUAAAAGAAAAAUCUGUCUGCAUGAAAUUCAUUAUUCAAAUCAUAUUUUCUUCCUAGAAACCACAUAAAAUCAGUCACUGGCAGAAUCAUUCUCUCUUUGUGACAAAUACUAGGCCUGCAUAAGAUAUCCUGAGGAAUAGCCCUCCACUAUUUUCAUAAGCUUUGGUAGAAAGCACUCUUUCCUUGCAGCCAGUGAUGUUUCACAAUAUUGAUUUUCUCCAAUAUUCUUCAUUUUAAAUCAGUAAAAAAGUACAGUGUUUGAAGGAGAGAUGCAACUGCCGUCCCUGCUCUGACCAGUUGAUUUUCUUUUAUAUUAUCUUCUAUACAGAAGACAACAAACUUCUCAGCCUUUACUUCUAUUAAUUCCACAUACCCAUGCCUUUUUCAAUCUUAGCCAUUCUCCCCUGACCCUAAACUGCAGUUGUUAUUCUAGUCAUCCAGCAGCUCAUCUGUGUGAUUGCUAAAUUCAUUGGCUUACCAGGCACAAAUGCAAACCAGGCUUGUUCUCACACACAAAGAGAGUGUGAAACUCCAGCAGGGAGAACAGUGCACUUGCAAUAGUCACUCCCUGGCUGAUAGUAUUUUGACCAGUAGCCUGGCAGACAUGGAUUACCUGGGAAGCUGAUCUGCCCUCAGGUUCCUAAACAGCCCACAGAGUCGGGCACAUUGAAACUGUUUAGGUCCUGAAAAAUUUGUUUGUGAAACAAGUUCAUGGUCUGUGCUUCCAGUCACUUUUACUUAUCUGUUCUCAGCUCUUUCUGUGGUUACAA